rnacentral:rRNA from 1 species
GGACUACUGGGGUAUCUAAUCCUGUUCGUUCUCUAUGCCUUCGUCCUUCAAUGUCAGUUUUUACCUAAGAGAUCGUCUUCACCUUUACCAGUCCCUAAGUUAUCACAGAAUUUAAUCUCUCCAUCUUAAGUACUACCUCCCCAUAUAAAACUCUAGUAAGAUCCAUAUUUUUACUCAAAAUAAAUAAUCUACCAUUUAAGUACCCUUUAAACCUAUUAAAGAUGAUUAACACUAGCCUCUUACGUAUUACCGCGGCUGCUGGCAC